rfam:Hydrogenovibrio marinus strain MH-110 scaffold00001, whole genome shotgun sequence.
UGUUCGUCCCCUCGCGAUGAUGGGUUGGGAACCCCGCCAGGUCCGGAAGGAAGCAACGGUACCUUCUGAUUCAUGCGCCGAGGAUCGGCGGAUAGGG